GUGGCGGACGGGUGAGUAACAUUUAGGAAUCUACCUAGUAGUGGGGGAUAGCUCGGGGAAACUCGAAUUAAUACCGCAUACGACCUACGGGUGAAAGGGGGCGCAAGCUCUUGCUAUUAGAUGAGCCUAAAUCAGAUUAGCUAGUUGGUGGGGUAAAGGCCCACCAAGGCGACGAUCUGUAACUGGUCUGAGAGGAUGAUCAGUCACACCGGAACUGAGACACGGUCCGGACUCCUACGGGAGGCAGCAGUGGGGAAUAUUGGACAAUGGGGGCAACCCUGAUCCAGCCAUGCCGCGUGUGUGAAGAAGGCCUUUUGGUUGUAAAGCACUUUAAGCAGGGAGGAGAGGCUAAUGGUUAAUACCCAUUAGAUUAGACGUUACCUGCAGAAUAAGCACCGGCUAACUCUGUGCCAGCAGCCGCGGUAAUACAGAGGGUGCGAGCGUUAAUCGGAAUUACUGGGCGUAAAGCGAGUGUAGGUGGCUCAUUAAGUCACAUGUGAAAUCCCCGGGCUUAACCUGGGAACUGCAUGUGAUACUGGUGGUGCUAGAAUAUGUGAGAGGGAAGUAGAAUUCCAGGUGUAGCGGUGAAAUGCGUAGAGAUCUGGAGGAAUACCGAUGGCGAAGGCAGCUUCCUGGCAUAAUAUUGACACUGAGAUUCGAAAGC
rnacentral:rRNA from 1 species